UGUGGUUUUGAGAUAUGGCAGUAGUAGCCUUUUGGGGUGUCCUUGCGUACGCCAGUCCUCGUCGACAGGCAGACUUGCUCGGCUAGAUCGAUUUCGAUCGCCAAUAGAGUCGGUCUGUCGGCACGUCCUGCCUCCAGCAAUGGCCGGUGCUCCCCCGUGCAAGGAGGGAGCAAUGUUUUCCCUCCUGACGGCCGCCGUCUUCGGACAAGGGCCCGUUGUCCCCUAGUGAUACUAGGCGACAAAUCUUUGAAGAAGUAUCGGAGACGCCGUUGCAAAGACAAAGGCAAGAACAUCAUCAUCAUCAUCAGGAUCUACAUGUAAACAAUCAGGCCGCGUGUGACACCCUCAGCCCCACGCUGGCCAGGCGCGGCGCCCCACACACCAGAACACUUCCUGCCACGGCUACACUCCCCCACACCAGCCGCAAGGCAGCCCCAGCCAGGCUCCACACCCUCAGGUCAGCCUGUGACACCCUCAGGGGAAUGCUCACGUUUUUGGGAUUGCUUCAAAGCUUGACGAGACACCUCUCCCAGGCUCCCUCCUUCACGCUGGACCACCCCUGGAGGAGGACUCCCUGGAGCCUGCCAAGGAGUACAGGGAUGCUGACAUCAAUGAGGCUAUAAACGAUUAUGAACCAGUUGGUGAAGGACUGGAGCCUCCUCCAAGCACCCCUGUGUGACAGUACAGCUGGUGAACCCACUCAGGACCAGAAGGUGAUGAACCAGCUGGUGAAGGGCUGGAGCCUCCUCUGAGCACCCCUGUGUGACAGUACAGCUGGUGAACCCACUCAGGACCAGCAGGUGAUGAACCAGUUGGUGAAGGGCUGGAGCCUCCUCUGAGCACCCCUGUGUGACAGUACAGCUGGUGAACCCACUCAGGACCAGCAGGUUGAUGAGGGUAAUCUUGAGAGCCAGCACCAGACCCUGGCGCCUCCUCCACCCCGGCCAGGAUCCCUCCCCCAGGGCCCAUGGAGCCACCAGAGCAUCGUCAUGUCAGCUGUGAAGGUGUUGCUGUAGGGAGGUUUUCAAGUCUUCACAGGCCUUCACAAGUCCUCCAGGGAAUGAAGGUAAGAUUCCUUAUUAACCCAAUAAUUUUGUGGCCUUACCGUGUAGCAGCAACGGGACAAAUUUGUGGCUUUACCGUGUAGCAGCAACGGGACAAAUUUGUGGCUUUACCGUGUAGCAGCAACGGGACAAAUUUGUGGCUUUACCGUGUAGCAGCAACGGGACAAAUUUGUGGCUUUACCGUGUAGCA